GUGCUCGCUUCGGCAGCAUAUUUAUAAAAAUUGGAACGAUACACAAAAGAUUAGAAUGGCCCCUGUGCAAGGAUGACAUGCAAAUUCGUGAAGUGUUCCAUAUUUUU